AAUAAGUACGGUUUUAUACUAUUUAUGUCCAACGUUUGAUCGUUCGUCUUAUUUGAUUUUCUUUUAUGAUUGGUACUUUUAUUGUUAUUACAUGAUAAAACAUUAAUAGUACUUUAUGUGCGACUAAUUUUUUUAAAUUUCUUUAUAAUUUUUUUAAAUAAGACGGACGGUCAAAUGUUGGAUACGUAUUCCCACGAGUGCAAUUUUG
rfam:Oryza meridionalis cultivar OR44 (W2112) chromosome 9, whole genome shotgun sequence.